rnacentral:lncRNA from 1 species
GCUAACUUUAUUAUCAGUGAAAAGAUAGGCACAAAGUGGAUUCAAACCUGCUUAACUUUAUUGGAACUAGCUCAGUUGAUUACAGAACAGGGUCUCCAUCAUUAUGGGGCCACAUACAUUUUAAAUCAAAGGUGAUUUCUGUCCAGCCAUAAGAGAAUAUCAUUUAUAAAAGUUAGUGCAUAUGUAUACACUUGAAGCUGCCGGAUUAUGAGUGGUUAGGCUCUUGAUAAAAAAGUAGUCUGCACAAUCAGUUUGUUCAUUUCUCAACUGGUGUCCCCACCCACUCUGUAACAAGAAAAAGAAUGCACGACUGGGCUCUUGGUGUGUUUCCCAUGGCAGAUGACAUCAGAUAUUUUAGGUUCCC